CUUGCCCCAGAAGGUGCCAGAGGUUGGAUGAUUGCCCAAGAAGCAUGAAGUCAGCAAAAAUCUGUGGAAACUGGGGGAGAAGUAAAGGUGGCAGGGGGAGAUCAUGACCACUGACUCAAUUCAAGACCAAAAAGAAUUGCCUCCCCCCACACCUGCAAGAAGCAUGCAUGCUAAUUUACACAGAACGCUGGAAGGAGCACUGCUGAGAUCCUGGGUCUCCUCACUGGCAUCAGGAAGAAAUCCCUGGAUAGGUGUCUUCAAGCCAAAGGGCUUCCCUGCCAGUCAGGGAGCACUUAACACCCCUCAGAGCAAGUUGCAGCAAAGAAUUACUGACCUUUGGAACCUCCACACAUGUCCAGGGCAUGAUGCACUGCAAUGCACUCAGAGGUCCGUCUUGAUUAGAGCAAUGCUCUGAACACUUUUGGAGCUCCCAGGUCAUCCAGGUCUCUGGGUGCCACUCCUUAACUGCAAGAGGGUUUGAGUAUUUCCUCUGAAGUUCAGCAUCAUCAUAAUCCUAAGGCAAUAUGGCACAUGCCCCAUCGUGUCAGUUUGUAGUAAAUGAUAUCUUGCUUGGUGAGUGUAACAAAACCAAAUAUGUGCUUGAUGAAAAAUCUGUCUAUCUUUUAUGCCUGAGACAGAACCUUACAGCCCCCCCUUUGUUCUAUUCCUCCUUGAAAGUUCCUUCCAUUUCCUUAAGUCCGCAUAUGGCAAGGUGAUGGGAAACA